rnacentral:rRNA from 1 species
AUUGAACGCUGGCGGCAGGCUUAACACAUGCAAGUCGAGCGGAGUGAUGGUGCUUGCACUAUCACUUAGCGGCGGACGGGUGAGUAAUGCUUAGGAAUCUGCCAUUUAGUGGGGGACAACAUUCCGAAAGGAAUGCUAAUACCGCAUACGUCCUACGGGAGAAAGCAGGGGAUCUUCGGACCUUGCGCUAAAUGAUGAGCCUAAGUCGGAUUAGCUAGUUGGUGGGGUAAAGGCCUACCAAGGCGACGAUCUGUAGCGGGUCUGAGAGGAUGAGCCGCCACACUGGGACGGAGACACGGCCCAGACUCCUACGGGAGGCAGCAGUGGGGAAUAUUGGACAAUGGGCGGAAGCCUGAUCCAGCCAUGCCGCGUGUGUGAAGAAGGCCUUUUGGUUGUAAAGCACUUUAAGCGAGGAGGAGGCUCUCCUAGUUAAUACCUAGGAAGAGUGGACGUUACUCGCAGAAUAAGCACCGGCUAACUCUGUGCCAGCCGCCGCCGUAAUAC